rnacentral:pre_miRNA from 1 species
UGAUGAUGAUGGUGAUGAUGUUGGUGGUGGUGGUGAUGAUGGUGGUGGUGUAGGUGGUGAUGUUGGUGACCAUCAUCAUCACCACCAUCAUCAUCAUCAUCACCUGCA